AUGUGUAUGUGUGUCUCUCUGUGUGUACUUUGCUGUUUGUAUAAUACAUAUUACAUAUACACACACACAAACAUAGAUAGCAU
rnacentral:miRNA from 1 species